UCUGUAUACUUAUUCUAGAGACUUCAUGUAUAGGACAAAUAUACACACAUUAUAAAUAUACACAAUAUGUAAAGAGAAAUAUUGAGGCAAUGAAUAUAAAAUUCUAGCAGAGCAAUCUUCUUCCUUUUUCUGAAAACUGUCCUUCUUUCUUGUCUCCAUAAAGGAAUAUAUCCCUUCUAGUGUAAUUUCUAACAUGGUAUCAGUGCCCUAAUACCCAACGAUUAUUCUCCUACUCUUCUGGUUCUCUCCUUUCUUUCUAGCAUCCUUUUUUCACCUUUUUCAAAAGUUUUUCCUUUUCCCUCAUCUAUGGACGCCCCCCAAGACACUGUCAAUCCAAUUUCUGACCCUCAUGGGUCCUCCUCAUCCUUUUCUUCCGCUGCUUCUUCUCCCUCCUACCCACCCGUUGCUGCCCAAAACAUUUCUUCCCUUGUUCCCGUAAAAUUAUCCCAAGAAAACUACCUCUUAUGGAAGGAACUCUUCCUCCCAGUCCUCCAAAGCUAUGACAUGUUGUCUAUCAUUGAUGGAUCUGAGCCUUGUCCUCCUCAAUAUCUAACCACCCAAGAAGACUCACUCACUUCCACUACAAAUCCUGCUUUUGUCCAAUGGAUAAAACGUGACCGUCACUGCAAAAUCUGGAUAAAUUCAUCCCUUUAUGAAAAUAUCCUCCUUUACACUGUUGGUUCAUCCACUUCACGUGAGCUGUGGCUUACCCUUGAAAAACGAUUCUCUGCUACCACCAGGUCUCAUCUCCUUCAACUUAAGGCCAAAAUUCAAAAUCCCAAGAAAGGUUCUUUAAGCAUGGUGGAAUAUCUUCAGCUAGUGAAAGACACGGCUAUUAGCCUAGCUGCAGCUGGCUCCCCUUUAGAUGACAUAGACUUUGUGGCUCAUGUCUUAAGUGGUCUCCCAUCUGAUUAUGAUUCAUUUGCCACCUCCAUCAGGGUUUGAUCUGAACCCAUUACCUCUGAUGAGCUUCAUGCCCUUCUUUUGAGUGAAGAAAUUGCCCUCAGCUCAAGACUCAGCUCAUUCUCUAAGCCCACAACUCAUGUCUUUCAAACAUCCCUUUCCUCACAACCUCAAAUUUCUAAAACCAACUCCAACAAUCGUUAUUCUAACCAAGCUCGCCCAUUUUCUAACUCUUCUCACCCUAACCCAAAUCCAAACUCUCGCAACCCUCAACAACCAUUUCGUUUUUCCAAACCUCAACACACAUCCCAUCAUAACCCCAACCAUAAUCCUAUAACCCCAACCAUAAUCCUAACCCCACUCGAUCAUUUUUUUCGUCCAAAAAAUUAUUCCACUCCAAGAAUUGUUUGCCAAAUCUGCAACAAACCAGGCCAUGGGGCUCCACAUGAAAAAAUCGUCUUAACAGCUCCUAUCAAGGCCACUUUCCCUCUCCCAACCUUUCACCCUCUCACUCCACAGCUCCCUUUUACCCAUCUGCCUCAUACACCUCCACAAACCCAUCUUCCUCUACUACUUGGUAUGCUGAUUCUGGAGCCACAAAUCACAUCAUUAAUGACCUCAACAACCUCUCUAUUCAUUCUGCAUACACUGGUCCAGAGAAAGUCAAUGUUGCCAACGGUGACAGCUUAGCUAUUCAGAACACUGCGGCCCCCAGGUUUCAAAGAUCCCCACAGGCCACACCAUGUAUGCAAACUCAAUAGAUCACUCUAUGGGUUGAAGCAAGCUCCUAUAGCUUGGUAUGAGGAGCUCUACCAUUGCUUGUUAGGUCUUUGCUUUCAUUCCUCCACUGCUGACUCUUCCUUAUUCAUCAAAGCUGAUGCAACUCUCACUAUCAUUCUAGUCUAUGUUGAUGAUAUCCUCAUCACAUGAAAUUCAUCAACAUCAUGCACUCACCUCAUCAACACCCUUCACUCCAAGUUCUCUAUGAAAAACCUCGGCGAUCUUCAUUACUUUCUUGGCAUUGAGGCCCAUCGCACCCUCACAUCUAUCUUUCUCUCCCAAACAAAAUAUGUCACACACUCCUUACAAAAACAAAAAUGCUUGAUGCGAAGCCUUGUUCCACUCCUUCCUCAACCAUUAAGCUUGACACAACCUCUGGUGACCUUAUUCAAGAUCCCGUCACCUAUCGUUCCCUUGUAGGGGCAAUAUCUUACAUGGACUCAUCCUGACAUUGCAUUCUCAGUGAAUCAAGUCUGUCAACAUAUGCAUCAGCCAAUAACUCCUCAUCUCAUUACCGCCAAACGCAUCUUGCAAUAUCUUAAAGGUACACCACAGCAAGGCCUAUCUCUCACCAAAGGUUCCAUGACUCUCACAACUUUUUCAGAUACUGAUUGGGCAGGUUGUCCAAUUGAUAGAAGAUCCACCACUGGUUAUUGUGUUUUCUUUGGCACUAACCUUCUCUCUUGGAGUGCUAAGAAACAAACCUCCAUUGCACACUCCUCUACCGAAAGUGAGUAUUGUGCCCUCUCUCACAUAGCUGCUGAAAUCACAUGAUUAUGUUCUUUGCUCAAGGAUCUUCACUUCUUCCUCCUCAAACCUCAUUUCUUGCUUUGCGACAAUGUUAGUGCUCUUGCCUUAUCUCAAAAUCCCAUAUUUCAUGCUCGCACUAAACACAUUGAGAUCAAUUACCACUACGUUCGUCAACUUGUCACAAGUAACUCCAUUUCCAUUAGUCAUGUUUCCUCUCACCACCAAGUUGCUAACAUCUUUACCAAAAGCUUGUCAAAGGCCCAAUUUCGACAUCAUUGUUUCAAGCUCAUUGCUACUUCACCGCUGCUUAGCUUGAGGGGGGAUGAUAAAGUAAUACAUUCACAAGACACCCAAAAGCCCAAGGAAAAAGAGCAAACUACUCAAGACACCCAGCAGCUGUGCACUAAAGCUCAUUUGAAGGCUAAAGAGCCAGCUCGCUCCAUGCUAACGUUGAGAGGAUAUGGAUGAAUAUAGCAUAUUCCAUUUCUGUAUACUUAUUCUAGAGACUUCUUGUAUAGGACAAAUAUACACACAUUAUAAAUAUACACAAUAUGUAAAGAGAAAUAUUGAGGCAAUGAAUAUAAAAUUCUAGCAGAGCAAUCUUCUUCCUUU